CAGUAGCAGCAGCAGCAACAGCAGCAGCAGCAGCACCGCCACCUCCACCAAGAGGUAGAGGAGGAGGAGGAGGAGGAGGAGGAGGUAGGACGGUGGCCGCGGAUGGGCGGCGGUGUUGGAAGAGCGAGAGGGCGAUCGAGGUGGCUGUGGUAACGACGGUGGGUCGUGGGUCGCCCAUUGGGGGAAAGAGAGAAAGAGAGAAUGAGAUAGAGAAAGGUGACCGGAGGCUCCGUGCUGCCUCUUCUUUACUUGGCCAGCGCUGUGGAGGAAACCUAGCGUUGGCUCUGCGCUGCUUACCAGCUAACUGGCGCGGUGGGGGGAAAAGGGGUACGGUUAUGACCAACCAUCAAGGGGGCAGCGUCGUCAUGGUUACCGCGACGACAACAACCCGACUGUUCUAAGGGAUGUUUUUAAAAGCAUAUAUUUACUUUUGCUCUUUUUCUUGGCGAUCGCGUCGAUGCGAUAAGAAAGAAUUUUUCUUUCCUCUAUAUCUAUGUUACAUUCGAUGGCCCGGUUUCAUAGAUCGACCGAAGUUUCUCGUGACCAUUUUUCUUUUUUUCUUUUUUUCUUUUUUUCUUUUUUUCUUUUUUUUUUCUCUCCAUUCUUGAACGUUCGUUCAUCGAAAUUGAAUAAAAUAUCGUAGGCGUAGGAAAUUUUCUAGGCUCGUGUUCCCUAAUUAACAGAUUUUUAGGUGUCGAACUUUGAAAAGUGUCUACUUAGUUUAUCAUGGGAUAUCGAAUGCCUCAUGUCAGUGAAAUGUCAAUGGUAGAUAGCGAAUCUCGAGAAGUCCGCGGCCACAUGAGGCCGACGCGACGGUGUCGAAGCUCAGACUACUGUGAUACCGGUACUGUGUAUCCAUGAUACCCUUAUCGUUUGAUUUUACCGCAGAAAAUACGUCACUAAACCUCAGAAACUUUACUGGUGGAUCAUAGAGUAUUUUUAGACCUUUCGACAACGUAGUCUCCACGUCAUCCACUAGUUUAUCUUUCCGUUUUGAAAUUGAAGUUUCUUGACUCGUAAAUUCGUAUACCAAAUUUGCCAUAAAAAUAUGUGCGAAGUUACAUGUAAUAAAUUCUACAUUUUUACACGUUUUUAAUGGUGAUUCCUGAGAGUUUGUUGACGGUAAAAUGAAACGAACGCGUCCGACGGACAGAGACGCGCAACCUCUGCUAACGAAUCGAUGAUCUCAUGCUGUUUUUUUCAUACAUUUUUUAGAUAUUUCUUUUCGUUCCGUUGAUUUCUAAUCGUAGAAAAAUGAUAAUAAAUUUCGUUACCUGUAGAAAAGGGUAGAAGUAUCUGUACAAGUGAUAAAUAGAUAGUGCUUGGUAUUGUUAUAUAAGCGAUAGGGUCGGUCGAUCGAUUGGCUACAACGUAAUCUCAUUGGUGGAUAUAAUCAAGAAACUGAUCAAUUAUUUUUACCAGAAGUUAACAAACAAAAUCUGAAAGAGUGCAUCCUUUUACGUGUCUCAUUGUCAGACGAAUAAUUAGAAAAUUUACAAUCACUUUGUAGAAUUUAAUUAAAUUGCUUAGCAAAUUGCUUUGGAACGUUUGAAAACGUAGUAAGAUGGUUAAUGUAAAGUAGCAAUGACAUGAAAAGGUACGAUUUUUGUAACCAUUUUUAGAGGAUAUUUAGAAUAUUAACACUGACAAAGUAAUUUCACUUUGAAUGAAACGAGCUCCGACUAGUAGCGAAACCACAUUGACCAAAAUCACUUCACUCGACUUGUAUUAUAUAAUUAGGGGUGUUAUCAGGUUUAAUAUAUAUUUACAGAUCUGAGUCUGUUUUAAAAAGUGAAGUACUGGAAUUUGCAAGCUAUUCUAGAAUAAGUAUCCAUAGUGUUAGAAAGUAAUACAUAUGUAUUUUACCGAGUCUUGAGAAGGUAGUAUGAAAACCUUGAAAGACGAGAAAACAGAGAUAUUAUGUAAACGAGAGUAGGAAAUAGAAUAUUCCUUGGCAUCCACUGUUCGUAAAAAGUUUACUUGUGCUUGAAAAGGUUCGAACCUCUCUCGUCUAGACGUGGAUCCAUAGAGUUCCAAUGAACUCUAAUUGAAUUUGAAAUGAGUGAUUCGAAGUCAGUCAGUCUCGUAGCAUAAACGGGAUCAGAAUCGUUCGAUUUUCCAUCGGUCCAGGACAAAGUAUGGUUUGAAUGUUGGGAAUAGGCGGCGUGUGCCGCGAAUUAGCAGCGGCAUAAAAGCGAGCCCAAGUUUGUAGCGUGUUACCCUCCUUCCUUCGUCUCCGGCCUCCACCACCUCCUGUUCCUCCUCUUGCUGCGCAUCGAGCCGCUCACCCACCAUCACGGGCCAUUAACGAGAGAGUUAUCGACGCGCGAUCUGUCAAUAGGCUUCUCCCAUUCAUAAAUUCGCCCGGCGUGUGGCGGCCGCAUAGUUUUGCCGCGAAAACCACGUGGCGGCGGCGGCGCGCGACGUCCUCUCCGCCGCCGUUGCACCGCAACCAGCCGAGCCGAGACUCUACUACGUGAUUUACGGGCCGCGUCCCCGUUUUAAAUGCAUGCAGAGCAGCAACCGUGCGUGUGCAUCCAUCUGUCUGCCUGUGCAUCUUCCCUCCCUCUUUUAUUUCUCUCUUUCACGCGCCGGCACACGUUGCUGUUCCUACAUAUGUACAUACAAGUCGCAGUCGUCGUAUACGCGACCAAGCGUGGGAGUUUACUACUGCCAUAGGCAUAAAUUUAAUUUUCAAUCUAUCUAUUUUUCAUUUCUAAAUUUCAAACUAUUCAUUUUUCCGCCACAUUUCAUAUCCUUUUACAUAAAUCACUGAGACGCGGUUCUAAUUUCGUGCGCGUUAAAUAAAUAUUAAACAACGCAAUCUUAAACUCUGUAUCUCUGAUAUAAAUUCGAACUUUAAAAGUUGAACUCGAGCAGCGUUUCUUUUGCGUUCGUCUUACUACAUACCAUCGUCACGUAUCAUGUGCAUAUCUACUCUAAACAACUCGCAGUCGUACGUAAGUCCCCACGUGGGUUCCUAGAAUCCACUUUAGACCGGUAUCUCAUCCGAAACCGAAUAUCAUCUUUCAAACACAGUAAUUUGAUCUCAUAAACGUGUAUCGUUCGCAUCUAACCUGAAGUUCAUUCAUCGUUGUAAUUGACGAUAAUUCAUUCGAUAUAUCGCUUUCAAGUUUUCACGAACGAUUGGCGCCGAUUUAAAGUUCCAGGCAACUCCCGCCGUAGAAAAUCAUAUCAAAGAGAAUUCGUAUUCGAAGUUGUCGACAUUAAAAAUUUUAUAUUAAUUUAUCCUGUAUCGUAUCGUAGAUCGCUCAAUCGAGUCUCGCUACGUAUUCUAAAGGUAUUACAUAUGUAUAAAUAAUGAAAGAAUGGCGGUGUGUCUUUUUGUUGAAAUUGCAGAAAGUUUACGGAAGCCUGAUAAUCCCGGUAGGUAUGCACGACCUACGCCACUGUUUGGCGUUUCACUGAUAACAUCGGUGAAUCACGAAUUACGAAUGUUACGUUGCGUCUGGCAUCUCCCACUGUGUUUGUCCCCCUUCGAUGCAAAGACAACCGAAGCACGUGGUACGAUCGUACACGCGCAUACACACAACUUUUCUCUCUCUCUCUCUCUCCUGGCGUUGCACUCUCGGUGCCGUUUUGUUUACGUUACCGUAACACCUACCGCCGCCGAUUCGAAAAAUUUGCAGUCAUCACGCGCCUGUCGUAAUUCACGCAUCGAACGUUCGCCGUUACGCUUCGCCGUGAUGACGUUGAAAACGAGAGCCGAUCUGCCCAUACGAAUAUUCCUUUAGCUUCGAUUAUAGUUAAGCUUCAGAUGAAACAGAUUAAGAAUUAGAUUUUUGAAAUGACCCCACUCGGAUAUUUCGGGCAUCGUUAAGUAUCGAAAUAAAUCAUCGUAACCGAUUGUCGUAAAGAAAAAGGAAAAAAGGCAAGGGAUUCCAGCCACGUGCCAUUAACGGUACAUAGUUGGAUUGCUUGAAAGCAACUUACCACACGACUAUUCACGAAAAGUAACCGUUAACCCGGUGAGACAUCGAGUCCCGAUCUCUUCACGCGACAAGAAGACGUAUCGAUAAUUAUCGUCGCAUCGUUCUAUUCGAGUGCACCACGUCUAGUCGGGACAGUUUUGAGGUAGGUUAAGGUUAAACGCGAGAAUGAACGUUUCUCUCCUUCCGUCACGAUCAAGCUUUUGUACGGGUAAAUUUCACGGCCACCACGUUGGCUUUGAUGGAUCAUGAGGAGGAGGAGGAGGAGGAUGAAGGAGCUGAAUAAUUUUUAUUAUUAUCAGUUGGCGAAACGUAGGUGAACGGCCCAAGCGAAAAAUAGCGUGUUCCCUUUUUGGAAGGUCGGAUGCUCCUCCCGUCGAUAUAACGAAACAGGAAUAAUGGCACCUGUCCCAGAGACUGCCACUCAUCGCGGUUUCCUCCUAGAAUCUUAUUAUACCACUGAUGCGAACAGGUGUUGCUUCCAGUCACCAUGACACUCGACCCUUGUUUCGCCGACGGCUCUGAAUUCUUUCUCCGACUCCACGUUUCUACCGAAUGAUCUCUACCCUGCUGCUAUUCGGCCUUGAACCUUUAAUCCUCUCCGUCGUACCCUCCGGCCUCUGCGCGUUCCUUUCUGGUUUACCGAGCCCUUAUGUUGUACUUUUAUUAGUCUUUAACCGGCGCGGCGCGGCGCGGCGCCGCCUUUGUUCGCCGCUAUUCGAAAUUAUAUAUCGCCGGCUCGUGCCACCCUUAUUGUUUUCUACAUGAAUGAAACUGUGGACCGUAGAGUUAUCGAGUAUGUAUUUUUUUCUGUUGGAACUACGUUUCAAUACUUUGGUGGUUGUAAAUUUGAUGAAAUCUGUGACUGUUGUAAUUUCACUUUGGAUUAUAGGAUUAUCGAUAGAAUUUCAUUUUAAAGUUAUUAAUCUUCAGAUUACAAUUGGUGUUCCAUGUGAUUAAAACAGAUAAUUAUUAGACAAACAUCGUAGUUUGCUUUUCUGUCCAACACUGUUUCGUUCCGUCGUCGUCGUCGUCGUCGUACCCAAGUGAAUACAAAGUGCACGUGGAUGAGUUAGACGAGUGCAACGAGCGUACAACCGCCGUUUUACUAUCUCGACCGUAGGAGCAUCCAAUGAGCACGUGUUGUCGCAUACGCGAUGCGCUCGACCCUCUUUUCUUCCCGCCAACCCAUCGAAAUCCGUGACAUUGGCAAUGGUGUACGUACAUACGUCGACGAUUAUUCAUUUUCGAAUAAAAAUGAAAGGUAGAUUUUCCCGUAGGAUCGGAAGCAAAGACAGAGAGAUAGAAAUAUGUAGCGAAUCUAUGCUGACCGCGAAGCAAUACAACGGAGGAAGCAACAGCUGACGAUAUCGACGUAAACGAGGACAGUUUAUGUACUUUCUACGCGGGUGUACGCGGGAGGGACGGGCAUGUCCUCCACGUGCAUUCGAGAGAGGUUCUCGCGUUACACAGUGGCGGAUCCCCAUCCCCCCGGUUCGUACAUAGAGCGUAAAGUACGAUGUAAACACACAUGAAUGAGCGAGAGAAAGGGAGAGAGAGAGAGAGAGAGAGGUGGCAUAGUAAAACGACAUAGGAAUCGUCGGAGUGUGCGUCAAUGCAUUGUGAUGUCCUCUCUUCUCUUCUACCCCUUUCGCCCUCUCCCUCUACACGGCUACACAACUCUGCACCUCCUCCCCUCUUUACUUUCCCUACCUACCUUCUUCCAUCCCUUUCGACCAUAGGUAGAUCGUUGUUACACCUCGUCCUGUACCAUUCUUGUCGUGCAACCGGAAUACGCUUUGUCCUCCUCGACGUUGCUUCCAUUCUGCACAGUUCAGUCGAUUUCGGUCGAUCGCUGCUGACGAGCUGCUGCUUUCCUCCUCGUUUCGCAGCAUUUUUCCAAUUUACCUUGUUUUAUAGCAAUAGUUUAUGUUCUUAUUGCUUAAAACUUUAUUACAAACUAAUAGGUUGAUACGUAGAUAACUCAAUCGGUAGAGAAAGAGCAUCGUACAGGAAGAAAAGGAAACUUGUUAGCACAUUGAACCUAUUGUAUUACAGUUUCUUGGACAGUUUUAACGAGAAACAGCUGGAAAGCUCAGUAUUGUAUUUAUAUGUGCAUACACAGAAAGUUUCGAACUGUUGUAUGCAGAUAGAGACCGCCGCGCGCACGAGUGUGUACCAAGGUUGGCCGUGAAUGAAGCCUAUUUGCGUACGAGCAAUAACAGGUGAUGCUCGACGGUUGUUUACCUUCCCUAUCGGUAAAAAGUCGAACGUGAAAAUUCGCGGGAGGUGAAGGAGGUGAAGGCGAGGCAACAGAGAAAGACAGAGAGAGUUUAGGUAGCACGUGGUGGUUGUGUUUUUAAAGAAACAGCCCCGAGUCAAUGUUACGUACGAUCGACUUUCAAACAGGUCGUUGUACUAUCACGACAUACGUAACAUUGCACGUGAAACGUACUCGAAGGUCGUGUGCGGCGCGUUACACGUGAACGAGAGAGUUGCAUCGUUAUCGGUCGUUAGUGCGUUUCGAUUAGAGCGAUUAGUUAAGCGACGAUUAGCCUUACGUCAGGAUCCAACGAGAAUUUGCCUCGACUUACAUGCGUACAUGCAUGCUUCUCUGCAUUGAAUACCACUCGCAAACACCGGUGUUUGCAUCACGUUACGUUAAAACUCAUGAUAUUUUUCUCACGAAAUAAGAAAUAAGUCUCUUCAUGGUCCGCCGUCCAAGGGUUAAAGAGAUUUUCUAUAUUUUGUCGAAUUUCAAGAAACGACGUAUCGUGACGUAUUCAUGACAUAUCGUGUUAGGAGAGUAAAAAAUAUGAAAGAUUCAGUGUUGCACCUAUUAAAGUCGCGACACGAAAUCCAAUGUCGCGAUUUACUGUCGGGCAAAAUAGUACAUCUUAUAGCAAUACAUUCGCGUGAUUUACGAGUCCCUUGGUCGGUAGUGUUUCUCUUUUGUCUCUUUUACUCUCGGAACAGUAGACGACGCGCACACACAGCACAACCGUGCAAGGGGAUGUGAGAACGUCCCCCAAGCGAAGAAAUGCUCGGACGGAUCUCCGAAGAUCACGUGCUGCGCAUAACUUACAUUCCCACCACUCCUUUCGGUAGCACGUGCCUCCACGGUUCUCUUUCUAUCUGCAUGUAUGUAUGUAUGUAUGUAUAUCUCUCUAUCUGCUCGUAUCUCUGUCUCGCUUUUAAACGUGCCCUCCCUUCUUCCCUCCCACGUCCGCAUUUGAUUCCACGAUUCGGUUCAAUCGAAUGCUAUACAAUCUUAGACAGUCAGUCGCCUCCCGCGACACCGCACCGACGGACUUGUUACACGACUCCCUACGGCGUGGCGCGGCUCGGCGCGGCGCGGCACAACAGCCACGAGCAAACUAGUCUUCCAUUAAUGGAAUCGCCUGAAAGAAAUAUACGCCAAACAGCUUCAUUUUCAUUUCUAUUGCUCGUCGUCGUCGUCGUCGUCGUCGUCGUCGUCGUUGUUUUUGUGAUCGUUAAACCCUUUCACUAGAAAGUACAGCAGCCGCUUUCGGAUUAUUUAGAGGUGGGACUUUUUAAGAAACGGGGAUUUAUUCAGCGUUAUUGGCUAUUAAGAUUGACGGAAAGAACGGAAUAGACGCGCGUGUGUGAGUAACGCGCGCGUAGAUAUUAAGUUUUCACAAGAAAUUUUCUAUCAAUUACAAUUAUUUUCAAUCGUAACAAACAAAAAACAUAUACCGUCAUCGUUUUUUAAUCAACAUUGGACAGGAUUAAAACGACAUCGGAUGAUAGAUCUAGUUUCAUAACCAGAGGUCCGUGAUUUGUUUUGUAGUCGGACGAAGAUUCAUUGGAAACCUAACUUGAUCCGACGGUGGCCGCUUUCGCGUGACAAAUAGAUCGCCACGUGGUUCGAGUUAUCCCUCGUUUCUCCUCCUCUUUCCCCUGCUGUGCAUCCAGCCACCCUAGUUUCCCCCCUCGUCGUUUCUGGCCAACUGUAAAUUCACGCGCCUACACACAGGUGGCACCGCCCUCUUGCCAAGUGCACGUACCAAGAGCAACGAGUACUUCCCUUCGGUGAUAUAGAUAACACGUCUGUGCACGAGGUGACCGCGUGGCUGUGGCUGCACCGAAACUGGCUAGUAAGAGAAAACUGUCUACCCUCCCAUUCAACAAUUGUCGUAGGCUCUUCCGGACAUAUUUUCAUGCUUAUAUAAUCCAACUCCGAGCAGCAGUGGUCACCACAAAACGCUUUCAAAACAUCAAGUUAUAUCUCUCAUAUUUAUCAUUAUUUUUGCACUUAAAAAGUAUUAAGGUUUUGUAAGAAUGUACUCUUUAACAGAAAAGAAUGUUUAUAAAAAAUUCAUAAGUUUUUCUUUAAAAAAAAAAAAAAAAAAAAAAAAAAACGAAAAAACGAAAAAACGAAAAAACAAUAUCCUAAAAAUGCAUGUUAUUUUCACCGUUUCGGAUAGACGAACUUAUCGUCUCUAGUGUAUUUUUAUUACUCAUAAGUAUAUUAAAUAAUUAUAUUAUAUCGUUCUGAGUACACUUCAUUUAGUUAGAACCAAUAACACAGUUGGGCCAACUGUUUUCGGUACAAAUGCUCCACUGUGCCACGUGCAGUUCCAGACUUUUAAUGUAACGUGCGGAUAUAUUACAUUCCUCGAUUCACCUAGUAAUCGCAGAAAAGGAUUAAAAAUCGGCGAGGUUGCGUCGCGUGUCGCGGUCGUGUGGCACCUCUAAACAAGGCUCUGCUUACGGCCUAAAAAGAUUCUAGUAUGUAUUUAGUUUAUUUUCAAACAUCAAUUUAUACCUACUAUUCAAAAUAAUAUCUUUCUGUUCUUUUCUUUUAAUCGUUCAAGUACGUCUAAUUUGAAUAAUUUAAUGUAGAUGGAAACGAUUUUAAAAUAAAAAAAGCAGGUGCAUUCCUCGUCUUUUCAGCGCUGACGAAAAAGGUACCGAAUUAAUUGACACACCUGACGGUAUGAUGUGUUCGCGACGCACCCUUCGAUCUCGUUCGAAUUCGUGCGUUGAGCGAUUCCGCUCGAAAAAUUGCUUCGACUGCUUUCGCGGAACAUAAAAUCAUCAAAAUACGUUCAUCCACCUUGAAAAUGACCAGACAUUCUCCCCCGCUGCCAGAAACCCGUAGUACCUCCCGAAAUUGUUCAGCGUUAUUUUCGCUGAUCUCCCCCCAAAAACUGUUCCUCCCCACCACCUAGCACCCCAGAGUCAGUGUCCUUUAAGUAAGUUAGACGCCUGCGCAAAUCGAAGGUGGAAAUUCUCGGUUGGCAAUGGUGAGGAUGAUAGGUGGUGGGAUAGUUGGGUGGGCGAUGGUGGGGAUGGAGAAAGACAGAAGGGUGGUAGAUACGGUGUGGUCUGCAUUGGCGGGUGGGUGGAGGGUUAAUAGGACGUUGGCGCCGCGACGGCGGCUGCGAGAAACACGGCCACGUGCGCCCGCUAUCGAACGGGCGCCAUCCCCAAUCUGCUCAACCCAACCCCAACCCCAUCAACCCCUUCUCUGUCUCUCCCCUUAUCCGUCGACCCUCUAUACCCUCCUCCCCUUGCUCUCGUCGCUUCGUCUCUCCCUUUCUUCCCUCAUACCACCACGCCCCUAACCCCUUAUACACGUCCUACCCAACUAUGGCUAUGUAAGAGUGGUGUACAUAUAUGUAUAUAUAGGACGCACACCAGGAUCCUGUAUCUCACGUACAUGAAAUGCAAUAUAUACGUAACUCUGUAUAUAGAGGAUACUCGUGUGCGCUUUAUGUACCACACACGAAGACAAGGCUAGAUUCGUGUGGGUACACUAUCCACGCCGUUCGUAUUCGACUGUACGGUUGUAUUUCAGAAUGAGCUGGAUAUAUCGCGCGAGAGAAGUCGCUGAACAUGAAGUAUACAGUUUAUGCCAUUACCGACGCUUCAACGAAUUUGUCUCUUUUCAAACGAUAGAAUAAUCUGAUAGAAUGGUGGGGUGGUUGCGAGAUGAUGAUACGACUCAGGUUGUGGGUGUAGCAUUGUAUUUUUCACUCUUUUUUUUCGACUGGGCAGAAAACAACGGGGCAUCGUUAGUAGACGUAUUAGAAGUAAACACUUACGAUUAAAGUCGCAUCGUUCGGUUUUUAUACCGAACCUGGGAUACCGCAGACCUUGGUUUAUGCCAUUUCUUCAUUGAGUUCUUCCAAACCAACUUGAAAUCUUAGUUUUUAGUCAAACACGAAUUUUUACUUUAGCCUGAAUUUGAACAGGAAAGUUUCGUUGUGCCAAAAUUUAUCGUUAAAUUCGACGAGUUAGAGAAAUUUCUCCGAAAAUAAGCACUCGAUGAUAAAAUCUUUGGUGGGUACUCGCGCGCCAAAGAAUUUUCAAGGUGUAUCGACUAUGCACGGACGCCUGCGUGCACGCGUAUACACGCGUAUACACGCGUCACAUCCUUCGAAACCAGUUUCACACGGACGUAACCGAUACCUUCGUCUUCCUCGUGGAUCGGCCGAUCUUGCUCUCCUCUUUCUCAUUUUCCUUUCCACCACAAGCACACUCAACUCUCGUCCUGUCCCUUUCUCGGUUACCUUGCCACACAAGGAUACCUCAACUCUCCCAUUCUAAGGCCAUUUUCGAAGUCUCGACUUGUGGGAAUUAUCGCGAAGCUGACUUGGUCACCUCGAACGAGGGUCGAAAGCACUAUAAGUUUCCGAUCUUUCGGAAAUCUGUUCUCUGGAAGCUGACAUUCGAUUGGUAGCCGCUGCUGGCUCGCUCUGUUAUCGAUCUAUUCAAUUUAUGGUUUGUCGAGUAAAAUUAGUCCUUGCAACGUAUCCUUAUCAUAGUUUUAGUAGCACUGAAAGGUAUACUCGAGAUGGUACGUGUUAUAGAAACUGAUCAUGAUCGAUUAGUAUAGCGUGUGAGCUAUAUAGCCAUUGGUCAGUCUAAACGCAGGGUAUUCCUCACCGAAGAGAUUACCAAAAAUGUCUUAUUCCAACACUCUUCAGAUUCUAGAGCCAUUGUUUAUAUCAGUAGCUAUACCAUAUAGAAACAGUACCACUGAUAGAGUGAAGGUAGCGAACAGAACUUACAAUAGACAGGAGCUUAGUAUGUAUGUCAGUUAACUAGUGGAGAAUCGUGUAGAUGAUGAAAGACAUUUAACGCGAGCAGCAAAGUACUAGUACAACAAAGUGUCCUGUGGAGAACGUCUCUUAACAGCCGAAACCGGCGAAUAACGAGCAGUAGCCUUGCGGUUAUUUGCUUAAUGGUGCUUACUGUUGGAUCCACCGCAACUAGAGGCGCCCCCUCUAAUUGCUGACAUGAUCCCUACACUCACCGCUAAUAAUUACCCUCAAGAUAUCGUACGGCGCUUGUUCCAUUCAUCUGAGCUUCACCGGCGUUUCACGGGCCUAAAAUUAUUCAAAUGGGAACGUGAAAACAAAAAGGAUACAGGUUACACGAUCCGCAAACUGAAUACGGAUUAUCAAUUUAUAUUACGGGCAAUUUAAAAGACCGCAGAUUUACUUUUACGUUCAACCGGAUGCCUAGCUAAUUAACGUUAUGUUAUAAAAUAAAUUAAAACAGGAAUUAACAACAUUCCAGCGAGAGUUCUUUAAUGAGGUUCAUUUCGCUUUUACCCCGCGGGUAAAGCGAACUUUUACGAAACCCACCUACGCAACCGCGUUACAUGAGUAUUCUACACUAUCGACGUGCUCUUUUACCUAUCUUUCAAUCUUUUCUAACCUGAUGGUUCCAGCAAGAUACGUUUCCUUCCUUCAGGGUGAACUUGUUUCAAAAAACUAAUUGUGCUUCAGUCACAAUGAAAAUCAUUCAUGUUUUGUGAAUAUUCUUGUUUGUGAAUAUACUUAAUCUUCCCUUAGUUUAGUAAGGGAAGAAUAUAGGGGAAGAAGUGUCCUACUACUUGCCCUGUUCUUCCUUGUUCUUUAAACGCAAGGGUAAGAGAUUCUCUACAAUAGGUUCCAUAAUUGCCACGUCCACUCCAUCGAUAGAAAAAGUUAGAGUAUAAAGAAAAAUCUUGCCAUUUUGUGUAACCGCAUUGCCCGUUGUUGAAUCCAUUAAUGUCCUUUCAUCAUUUUCUGCAAUUUUGCAUGCGGCACCCGACAACGAUUUCGCUCAUCGCGGAAUCCUCGUUUCGAGAGCGCCCGUUAUUCGUCCUCGUCGAGAAGCCUCGAUAUCUCUUGCGGGCUUGCCGCUCGUAUGUGAACGGGCCUGUAUGGUAGAAUGUGUUAGCGAAAGAAAGACAGAGAAACGGUACGUGUAUGUGUGUGUCGUAAAAAAGAGGGGGAGGGAGAGAGAAAGAGAGAAAGAGAAGGAAUGAAGAAGAAAGGAGAAGGCAAAAGAGAGAUCGUAAGUUCUGUAGCAUCAGGGGGCAGAACGUGUUGGACAAAGAGGGACACAUUACUCGUGCAUGGGGCGUUGCCAUGGAAACCUCUGCUUGUUCCACCCUCUCGCGCGCUCGUGAGCGUCAGCAGGAACGAGAGAGAUUGAAGGAGAGGGAGAGGAGAACGUCAGAAAUAGAGGGAGUGAAAGGACGCUUGAGAGAGAAAAAGAUGGUAUUACUAGAAGUGCGAUGGAAAAAGGGAGAGAGAAAACGGUACUGGAACGCGAGAGUAAAACAGGAAGGAAUAGGGCGAGGAAGUGAGAGGGGCGAUUGUCAGAAGAAGGGAGGGAAUGAGAUUGUUAGAGAAAAAGAGAAGAGCGAGCGAGAAAGCUGCCAAACGUGGGGCCGCCAGUGCAAUCAACCCGUUGCCCGCCUGCGAGGGUAAAACUACCCCAAAGUCAAACGAGGAUACGUAUAUUAUAGAGGGAGCAGUACCGUCGUUGUGUGUAUGCCGCCAUAUAUAUAUAUAUAAUAUGUAUGUAACACCGUACGUAUACGUAUUUAUACACGCAAACGAAGGGAUAGAGAAAAAGAGAAAUAGAAAUAAAACGGUAGCGUGUAAAAAAGGAAUACCCCAACUGUUAAACGUUUGAUAAUAGAAAAGAAGCUCUGUCGGUAAAACAGUGGAAUCUAUUACAGCCUCUAUAGUUCAGCCGCCAUUUUAAUUAAACUCCAAAACUACAAUGGCUGAUUCGUGACUCGAUUUUCUGAAAUAAUUGAAUUUUACACGAAAAAUGCUGAAAUAGAAUAGAAAAUAUAUAACUUUAAACGAACAGAUUUACAAUUUCUUUCCAUUAUAAAAUGAGUACCAAGGAGAAAGUGGAUCGUCGUAAUUCAUAAUUUAACUUUUAUUUUAGGGCGUAACUGUAUUAUGUUAGAUCACACAAAGAGUCUUGCAUGCUUUUUUGGAGUUUGUGGGAAAAUAGUAGAAAGUUUUGAAAGAUUUUGAAAAGUUUUAUGGUGUUGACAUAUAUAUGUAUAGAGAGAGAGAGGUUUUUAAGACCACCAAGUAAGUUUCUGAUUCCAACUUCUGAGUAUUGUUGCUGGGUUAUCAGACAACCUAAUAUUGGAGGGUACCGUUAAAAAUAAAAAUAGCAAAUCGACGCGUUUCAUGAAACUGGGAAUUUGAAGAGUAACCCAGAGUUGUUGGUAGGUUCAACUCGGACCCGUUGCUAAAAGGCACCUUGCAGUACGUCCUUGCAGACGUUCCAAAUAUUCACGAAUGGAAAGGAUCAUGGUACAUAUAUACGGGUACGAGGUUAAACUCACGCGCGAGGGUGUCGAGGUUUUCGUUCAUCGUGUUGUUGCUGGUAAGGCUCGUUGCUCUAUUCUCCUGGAACCAGUUUUCCUCUACACUGUCGAGAGAGAGUACGCGCGCGCUCAAAGCAGAGAAAAAGAAACACAUGCUCAUACGAUGAACACGCACACACGCUACGGUACGCAUACGGUGGGAACGCGACGCACAUGUUGCUAUAACUGUGAACCAUAGCAUACAUUUAUGUGCACGCACACGUACAUGUAGUUAAACUAGAAAGUUGCCCCAGCCAGCGUCGAAGAAACGACAGUACGCGCCGGGCUAGAGCCUUUCAAAUUUCAACCAAGAAUAUUUUCCAUGUGUUUUGCUUUCUAUAAAAAGAAGCACAAAAAUCUUUGUUCGAAUAAAUGUAAAAAAAAGAAAUCUUGUACACCCUUCUUACGGCCUAUUUUGAAAAUAAUAUAUUUUCAUUUCACUUUAAUGUGUUUGUUUGUUGUUGUUAAUUGAAUCGAAAUGCUGAAACAAAAGCUUAGAUUUAAAUGAAAGAAAAGAUAAAAGUCCACCCUCGAUAUGGUGUAGAAUUGUUACGCUGACAACCCCAUUCUCGAGAGUAGAAAGUUCGUGUAGAGGUAUUUUGCUCGGCGCAAGAGCGACAUCGUGCGAGACCUCAGAGCGUGGGUAUCAGUACGGAACCGAGUCUACAACGCAUUGGCGCUAUGUUGCCACGUUUCGAGGUCUCUCUUUCUCGUCUCUUCUCUCUCUUUUCCACUUCCCAUAUCAGCUAUCUCGUUCUUUCUUAAGUUUCUCUGGUUACGCAGCGUUGCCGGUUCGACUGGCGGGAAAACUGGGUUUCGAAACAAAUUUUCCUUCGCUUGCAGCAUUAUUUUAUUACCUACCAGUUUUGAUAAUAGUUUCUUUUUUAUAAAUUCUUUUCUCUGUAACAAUGUUACACGAUAAUUUCUAUUAAGGAAUUUAUAUUUUAUUACAACUAUUAAUCUUCAGACUACGGACGGACCGCUAAAACAGCGACUAUUUGAAUUUAAUUUUAGUCACGAUUGAUCCGGCUCCACCGUCCAAGAAUGAAAAAAUUGAAUAAAAUUAUACGUAAACCUUUUAACGUAAUAAAGCUUCUGUCAAAGUCAAUAAUGUACUUUGUAUAGUUGUUGGUGUAAGCUUCUUAAAACUCGCGGCUACAUAGUUGUAUAAAAAGAUUUACUAUACUGGAAAUACGAUUCGAAAUUCUACUACGACCGAUUAUCCUUUCGACUCUAGAAGAAGAGUUAGAGCUGGUUGCUCGAUCUGACGGUGUACAGGGAGAGGAAGGAGGGUAGACGGUUUUAGACUACGGACUCGACGCGUCGGCGUCGAGUUAAAAAUAACAGUAACAGCAGCAGCGGAACAGAGUAGCCAGUCCUCGGUGUCUACGUCUUCUACGUCGUCUAACUUCCACUACUUCUGGAAUCAUCGAUUCUGAACCUAGACCAUUACCAAAAACUAGAGAAUCUCAGCUGAAAACUUGAAAUAAUUUCUACAUAUGUACAUAUUACCCUAUCAUGAAAAUAGGGUCCAUUAGUAGGCUUAUGAGAAAAGGCUCUUCUCUUAAAUCUGAAACUCGUAUGCCAUUAUGUCUAUGCUAGGGACACGUUAAUUAAUGAAAAACAUGAAAAUUAACAGAAACGUUUGCAACCAUAGAGCAAAAUGGAUGCUACUUUUUCCUACAUCGAACACGCAAUUCACGUUCCCUGGCGUCACUCGCGUAGCAGCUUCAUCGCUAAUUGCCGUCCAACGUCGGGAUCGAGCCGAGCAAGAGACGUCAACCGUAACGGCGCAGCCUUGAAGAAACGGUGGCGGUGGUAGCGGCGGCAGCGGCGGCGGCAGCGGCGGCGCGCGUUGUUUCGUCGCGACGACGUCGAAAAAACGACGUGCCGAUCAUGUGCCGCUAGCUGGCGCUGUAUUCGCGUACACAUGAUGGCGUGCCAUCGCGCUCGCGCUCGCGCCCGCCUCUCUUAUGUAUGUAUGUAUGUAUGUACACGUUUUACAAAUUUGACUUUCACGAGGAGACUCGUUGCUUCGUCGCACGUAACCUUGGCUGCGUCGUCGUCGAAACGGGCUGCGAGCGUCGUCGUGCAGCGACGGGACGGAUUUUAUUUUCGUAUCGCCGUCGCCUCGUUGUUUUGCUUGCCCAGCGCGCGCGGCUGACACUCGUAAAUUCGAUGCUCGGUACUUUUCUAAUAUUGCUGGAUGUAUUCCGAUACCACCAACCCUCUUGCAUGAAACGAUACCAAUCGAAAAAUCGAGAGGAUCGUUCCAUAAAAUCGGUGGAAUUGGUCUGUGCUUUUUCCUUCUGGUGAAAGCGAUUCGAUUCAAAAGGAUAAUAUGCACUGAUGCAUAGAAGCUAGAGUAGAAAUAUGUAGCCAUAUCUGGUAAGACGUGAUAAAACGGAUAACCCUUGGACGGAGGGUUAACGUUAGUUGUAUGUAGUAUUCAAAGUGUUAGCAUAGGAUUGCAUAUUUUUUCUACUUUUUCAUUUAAUUCUCGUGUGGGUAUUUAGAUUUUUGCAAAGAUAUGCUGACGAAGAACACUCGUUUGGUGUCAAGUUCUUUGCUUUCCUCGUGUCUUCCUUACACUUGCAAUUUUUCAUAAAGUCAAGCUUCGUUAUAUGUAGGUAUAUUGUCGUUUGUUAGUCGAAAAAUGUUGGUUUUGAUUAAAUUUUAGCACGUGAUGUGUUGCUACGACGUACAUACAUCAUUCACCGUUUCACCCUCUAUUGACCCCUUUCACUGCGUCGUUCUUUUACGUGACAGUCGCAAAUCGAUCGUUAUAACUCAACAAAUAAUUUAUCUAUUAUUUGGAAAGGGUUGAUAUAACUUGACACGAAACUAUUAUUGACGUAGAUGAUAUUAUUUACUUACCAGCUGCAUACAUUAGGGUAUCAGUAGUAUUGUAUAUACGGUUUGAAACAGGUGUCACACUUGUGUUAUAAAUCAAUAUGCAACAGGACCAAGCCUGUGUCACGAUUAAUCUGCACAUCUUAAAAUAGUUUUCGUAUUAUUGUUCAUGAAAGAAAAAAAAAGACUUUCGAUUACAAUUUACAUUGAAUUUGAUCCACAGCAAGGACCUAGUAAAUCAUUUAAUAUUUUCUAAAUAUCUGUAUUCCGCGUUAUUUUUCAAUAUCUCAUAAUCUCCUUAAUGUAGUUGCACUUUGCUCGACAGCAAGCUAGGAAUAGCCGUGGCAGGAUACGGUAACAGUUACGGCCGGGGCCGGUACUGCUCGAGGCGAUCGUGCAAGGACGGUACCGCUACAGGCGAAUAUCUUCCACUGGUAUUCUUCCUUCUUUCGCGGGGAUUUGUUGUCGCGUGAAAUGUUUGCCUCUCUGUUUAUCCAAAUAAUGCAACGAAAAUAUCUCGCCAAGGCGAGAAACGACGUAUCGACGUGCAUAAAUCGUUGGAAUAACGUUGUUAAGUACAGUGCAAAGAGUAAAACGGUGAGAAAUUCGAAGAACGUCGAAGAACGUCGAAGAACGUCAAAGAACGUCGACGAAAUCGAAUUCGACGUAAAUCUUGCACCUGGAACGUCGUAACCUGCGAAACGCAGACUAUCGGAAGCAGCGCGCAUCCUUCAAGCAGGACCAACAGGAUAACACUUGGUGUUGGACAUGAGAGGUCGUUGAAUCCCAUUAAGCGGUACUUGUUCGAUCGUUCUCGCUUCGACCACCUGUAUAACCGUGGUUCUUUUCGACCGAUGCCUUUCUCCAUCUUUGUUCCGACUACGAGCGACGUUUGAGCAUCGACUUGGAGAGGUAGUAGCAAUCAAACAGCAGGAUGGGAACGAUUACGCUGGCGGUUCUACGCGUUGUUUCUACUCUACGUAUUUGCCCGGUGAAUAUCGUGUACGAGCUGAACGGGAAUAUUGCAUUCUCGUUUUCUUGUGUAGCCAACGCAGCCACACCUUUCACCAACACCCAACCGGCCCCUGCUGCUGGUUUAGCACUUCUCUAGCCUGGCAAACAGCACCGAUGCUGGCUGCUGUAUUGCUGCUUUGCUCGGACGAUUGUCUACGGUCCUCGGUUUUGUUUAGACCACCACCGUACAAGUAAUGUACAUGUACCGGCUAACAGUAAACACGUUCACUUGGUCCCAGCUUCGCUGAUAGAGAUAUGCUCCUUGCGGGUGCCAUCAGGACGCACCAUUUUCUAGGAUCUUUUAUUGUUUGAAAUUUGCCGCACUAGUCGCGCCAUUCGCGUUCGCGAGGAAAUUGGUGAUACUGCGGUUACUUACAAUUAGAUUGGGAUAUUUAAACCCUUGUCUUCUUUUAUACAGUUUUUAUUGUAAGAGUAUCUUCAAUUCACUGUCAUAAAAAAGAUUGGUGUGUCAAGGACCGCUGAAGUCGCUUUGCUUAGCAAGAUCGGUAAAAGUUCGUUUCUAAACGUCGAGGACUUAGGGUAGUACGCGUUGGCCUGCUGUCGUCAGUCAUACAUGGGACGGGCAGGCAGGCAGGCACGAUCUGCCUGACGAGGGGGAUUUCUCCGUUGUCGUUUCGACGGGGCGGACAAAAGAAGCUGGGGCCGAUAGCCGACUGGCGACCCUUCGGUACAAUAAAAGGUUCCAACCCUCGUUUCUCUUGGCCGAGGGUAUGUACGGGCUGUUCUACCCCGAACUCAACAAUACGGGCCGCAGUUGCCGAAACCCCGGCUUUUCCGGGACUCUAUGGGGCAGACUCAGGGCCCUGAAGCUUUGCACGCUACACUAGAGCCUUUAUUUUAUUUUAUUGUUCAGACUUACUGUCCAACUAGUAGCAAUCAUAUUUGUCCCUUUUUCUAUUUUCCUAACAGUCGGAAAGGGUUAAAAUUUGGGAAAUUAAGGUGAAAAAUGUUGAAUUCAUUAUUAUUUUAUUAGAUAAAUGAUAAAUCCAAGCCAUUAAAUUUAGUACAGUUAUUUUGCAUACAAUGGUAUUAUGUUAUCAAAUUUAUUUAUAAUUCCUCACAAGAAAUUAAUCAUCACGGUUCAUGUGUUUAGAAAUUGAAGUCAUUUGGAAACUUUCAGUGUCGUCAAGUUCCCUGAAGAUAAAGUCAUUGUUUAUGUUGCGAUGACGCGUUGCUCUCAGUUCUUCGUUACCCUGUGACGAAUACGUGACUAGUCAUGGUUCUCGCUUCUUAAAGCUUUAAUCGCUGUCUGUUUAGGAUUUACAAAGCCUCGCUACCUCUUUUAUUUAUUUAUUACUGUGCAAUAAUUGUAUACACUUCGGUGUAUACAAAAGUAAUAGGAAUAGCUAAUUAUCCUAUUUCUAUUAUAAAUUGGUAAACCAUGCCCAAUAUUAUGAUUUCUAUCCGUGAAACUAUUCAUUUGAUUUAAGUCCUCUGCUUGGAAACAAAUAGCAUCAAUUAAAGGAAUUUCAAGAACAAAAUAUCCAAAAAUCUGAUGCCAAAGUAUGAAUCAUCAUUCGCGUUAUCAACGAAUCGAGUUUCCUAUUCCCUCUGGCAAAAAGGAUCAAUAAUUUUUGGGAAAGAGGGAAGGGAUCGAAGUGAUCCCUAUUCUCCAGCCACGCGUUCAUUAUUCCUAAAAGGUUAAGAAACUCUUGGCGGCGAGGUGAGCAGAUUGCUGGUAAAAAUCGAAAAAAAGAAACAAACCCGCAUAGCGAUCUCAAAUUAUCAAUCAUCCAAGUGGCUCUGCGUCAAUGGACGGUCUAGCAAAGUAGACAUUGAGAGUCACUGCUAUACUGCGGGCCAGGUCGAAGGGAACCUUUCAGAGGAUUCCCCUGAUGUGGCCCGACCCGUCCGACCCUCGUCAAGACCACGUCGAGCCAUCCCUUGGGCCACGUGCAACGAAGGCGAUCAUCAGCGUUUUCUACCUGGGUCCCAGGUAUCGGGUCAUCUGUAAAAGGCCCCCGGACGUUCCCCUAGUAGACGCAUUUUUUGGAAAUUUCUUACUGUCUUCUAUGUAACGAGAACAGGGGGUAGCCUAUUCUGAAAAGGGGUGGAUCAUAAAUUCCGUAACACGAAAAACAGCCGGAUUUUAAGUUAAUGAAGAUUGGGGUGAGAUUAAGGGGUCGCGGUGUAUUCGCCCUAUGAAUGUAAUAAAUAAUAUUUUAAUAUUAAUUUUUAUUAAUAUUUUGAUUUUAAUAUUGAUAAUAGAGAAGGGCUUAGAAGUGUUUAGGGAGAGCCUUGGUUCAUUUUUUUCUUAGCAUGGGUCACAUAUGACUUUGUUAUUCGUAUUCCAAAAAUUAAUCACAUUACAAAUCAAAUAUGUAUUUAAUUCUAUUUUGAAAUUAAAUUCAUAAUUAAUGUAUUUAAAUAUCCGAAGGGGUGGGUUAUGACAGAAAAUACAUAUGUAAGUCGAUGGGUAGCAACAGGUUCAACAAAGACCCUGUAUUGUACAUACUAUGCGCUCUUGAUUGAGCUUUCGUUCGUUCGAAAUUGUAUAACGUUUUAUCGAUCGGUUAACCAGCUAUACAGGUAUCUCGUUGACUGGAUAGAUAAGUGACAAUGACUCGAUCUGAAUUCAACAGUAUCUUAUCGCGGACGUGUAUUCGUUUACUUUCGUCACUGACUUUUGUACGGAAAUACCACAAUUGUCAUUUCUUGCAACACCGACAAUCAAAAAUUAAGAUUUACUUGAAUGAAAUUAUUGGCGUUGAAAAUAUUAUAAUACUGUCACUAAUUUCAUAAUAUUAUCUCUAUUUAUUUGGCAUUUAUAAAUACCCGAAGUAUUUUUCAAGUAUUGUACAAUGGAGAAUUUACGAUCAUCGAUGAAACGAUGAUCGAGUCGAAUCGAUUAAAGGAUCAGGUGGUACUUGUUGAUCGUAAAUGGAAAACUCGAAGCAACGAUACUUCCUAGAGCAGCAAUAUUAACAACGUCGAUACAUGGUUUCAGAGGCUGGUUCACGGCAAAUAUCGACCUACAUAUACAGGGUGUAUAAUUACCAAUUUUUCUGUAAUUUACCUGUUGGUGAACGUUUAUCGGAGCUUUUAUGCUGUUUUGUAUAAUAUAAGAGACGCAAAUAAAUGAUAGGUAGAAAACCUUUUGAGAUUGAUUAAAGUCGAUGGAGAUAAAGGAUUUUAAUUUGAUAGAGGCAUUAAUUCUUGUAUUUAAAAGUUUAAUAUUUAAUGCUCAUCCUGAACACAUAAGUGAAAAUAAAUAACUUUUUCAAGUAGUAGACUCGACGAACCCCUCUUUAGUAUCUCUACUAGGGUUAAUGUAACUGUUAAUGCAGUGGGUCGCACACAUAACCAUAGAACUCAUCGCAUGAAAACUACCUGUUUGCCACUCGCGCCGAAUGCACCUUGCGACCGUCCCACUCGUCAGCACGGUUGCACUUGCGAAUGCACGUCACAGUCGCAUGUGUAUUAUUUAGCGUGGCUGGCGGAGGCACCUGCGACACGCUGUAACCAUCUUAUUCUCUCCUUCUUUGACUUGAUCCUACGAUGGCCAUCACAUAAACUUCAGCCUGCGCCCACUCGUCACCGCGAACAGGUUCCAACUUCAUGUCGCGUCUCCUGUUUCACGCUUCCUCUUUCUUUCCCUUUCCCUUUCCCCUUCCCCUUCUCACCCUUCAUCCAUCACUUCGUCUAAUUAUUGCAAAAAUUUCAACGACACGAAUUCUUUUCAAGUUCAACCCUUUAACCGCGGCGUGCUCUGAAAUGAUAACAUCAGUAUUUUACAGUUUGCGAUCAUUCUAAAAUUUUAAAUAAAAAAAUUGCCUGUUACUAAUUAUAAGUGAUUUUAUUUUAAAUCAAAUUUUAAUAUAAUAAAAAUUCGUAGGUAGUAAAUGGACGUCCUUGGAACGGUGACGGGGACAUGUCACAACACGUGACACGUAUAAGUACGCGUCACCCGUUUCGUUUUUCGCGAAGAAUCGCGGGAAAAACGAUCCCGGAUAAUUGCACCGUUCCUCUCGGCUCGUAGCGAUCCCGAUUGGUCAAGCCCCAUCGAUGCCGAUAAAAUUUAUUAGGAACAAAACGAAAAGAAUUCUCUGUACUCGAUCGGCGUAACCGGAAUUUUUGUCUUUUUAGAGAAGCCGGAUCCUCUGGUUUUUAUUAGAAAUAAAUAUCGAGUAUCUACUGUCGUUUAAUUCUAACAUGGUUUCCAUUUACAAUUUCCUUAUAAUACUUGUUCAAAUUUUGUUAAUUUUUGAUUAAGUAUAGGUGGAUUGGCCAGCCCACAAUUUAAAUAGGGUCAGAUCCACAUCCUGACCCUUACCUAGUUACGUCAAUGACCUACUCUCUCGAUUCAAUUUUCAUUAAUCGAUUCGAACGUCCACGCGUCCGCGAAAUUUCUCCCCUUCCACUGUCGGGGGUUGGUGCAUUGUGUGCACGUGUGUAAGCGGGAAGAUGCCGCCGCGUUAAAAAAGCCCGCCAUGGGCGAAAGGAAAAAAAAAAAAAAGAAAUGCAUGAGAAAGGGAGAGCGACUCGUGUAUCCCUGUCGAAACUUCCACACACAAGGGGUGCUGUCCGUUGUCUGCCAUAUGGUCCCUCUUUUUUCGCCACCCCUUAUACGGCUUUCUUCCCACAUGACAAAGGUAACCACCCACGUGUGCGUGCACGUGCGUGUUUACAGCUGUGCGAGUCGGCUUCCACGAAAGUGAACAAUCUUUUUUGUUAUUAUUAUAAGAAAAAUUGAGCAACGAUAAAAAAGUGGUGUCAGGUGAACGUUUGCUGCCACUUUCGAUAAUUUUAGGACACUUUGGUUUUGGUUUUGGUUCACAUUUAUAUUUUUCUGAUUUUCACUUAACUAAUAAACAAAAUAGGAAAUAAAUUGACUCGCGUAUCAAAUCAUGUCAGAUUCUUGAUGUUUCGAAAUCAGCCAUUUAAUAUGCAUUCGCUGCUUUUCGUACCUCUUAAAACGUUCUUCCCUGACGAAUAAAAAAAAUAGGAGGUCAAUCGAGAGUAAGCGAGAAAACGGAUUUUCCGUGCCUUUUGACACAAGCUACUGGCAUCCGUAACUUUUUCAUACCAAUUAAGGGCUGAAAUACGUAUUCUUUAUUUCAACGAGGCAACGUUAAGAAGCCAACUACAUUUCCGUCUCUGCUCGUUCUCUUCCCGGUUCCUCCAAAUUUUCCACCCCUCUCAUCCGCCCUCUAUUCUCUCCCGUCUCUGUUUCCCUCGAUGAGUGCUCAGGGUGCGGGACCCCUUCGUUCAGGGCACCACAGAUGCCGUUCGUCCUACUAGAUUACGUACCAGUGGUACUCAAACGUUCCACUCGUGGCAGUGCAGUUUUAUCACUCAUCGCCAGGGCAAUAUUAUAGGGUUAAUUUGGCCUUCAUAUCAGAAAUGAUUUCGAUAAGAGAAAAAUAUUUAUCAGUAAUUUUAAGUAAAAAACGAUGUUAAAAUUAAGCAGUAAGCAUUUGACAGUAGAAUUGCUUGGUAGAAUUGCUGAGAGAACCCCUUGCUCGUGUAAGCAACCCUCCGUUUUUGGAGACUUUCCUUUAUUCAUCCCCUAAUGUAGGACCGACCAGUACGCGUAGAUUCACCUCCGCUGGUAUAUACAUACGUAGGAGGGUAGUGUAUUUAUCGCGAAAGUUGUACAUGAACGAUAUGUAGAUACGUUUACACAAAAGGAUCCAGGGAUAUGUAGAUGUAGGAUUCUCGCUAGUGUACAUACAUUAUACGCGGCCAUGUGCGAUGCAUUUAUUGCGCGAGGGUUUGCGCGUGGCAUACAAAUACCCAGUGGCACACAAGUACUCGUAUUUUCGUGGUUGCAAAUGUUAUGCUGCAUGGUGGUAUAAACUGGGUCAACCAUCGGUAUGGGAAACUACGAAGUUCUGUGUUUUUGGUGAGGUAUAACGCUACCGUCUUUUUUCGAACAAAUUUUUUAAUUACGGAUUGAUGAACUACGUAUAGGUGUAUUAAUUAUUAUAUCAAAUAUUCUUUUCACUUCCGGUUCCCCAUAAAUAAAAUUCACAACUAUUUCACAGAUACAUAAGUUUUCUGAUUUUAUAUUCAAAGGUACACGAAGCACGUCGAUGAUUGAGUGCAGUGAUGCGUUAGGGGUAGUUUCUAUCCGCUGUCCCUAUGUAUGUACAGCUUCUUUUAUCAUCGCGCACGUUGCUAAAGUAGAAAUUCAUUCGUCUACGAUCAUAUUCGUGAAGGAUAAUGCUUACUCGUUGCUUUUUUUUUUUUUUUUGAUGAUUUU